AUUGAACGCUGGCGGAAUGCUUUACACAUGCAAGUCGAGCGGCAGCGCGGGGGCAACCCUGGCGGCGAGCGGCGAACGGGUGAGUAAUAUAUCGGAACGUACCCCGUCGUGGGGGAUAACACAGCGAAAGCUGUGCUAAUACCGCAUACGACCUGAGGGUGAAAGCGGGGGAUCGCAAGGCCUCGCGCGAUGGGAGCGGCCGAUAUCGGAUUAGCUUGUUGGUGAGGUAAAGGCUCACCAAGGCGACGAUCCGUAGCUGGUCUGAGAGGACGACCAGCCACACUGGAACUGAGACACGGUCCAGACUCCUACGGGAGGCAGCAGUGGGGAAUUUUGGACAAUGGGGGCAACCCUGAUCCAGCCAUUCCGCGUGAGUGAAGAAGGCCUUCGGG
rnacentral:rRNA from 1 species